GUAGGUGGCAAGCGUUGUCCGGAAUUAUUGGGCGUAAAGCGCGCGCAGGCGGUUCUUUAAGUCUGAUGUGAAGGCCCACGGCUCAACCGUGGAGGGUCAUUGGAAACUGGAGAACUUGAGUACAGAAGAGGAAAGCGGAAUUCCACGUGUAGCGGUGAAAUGCGUAGAGAUGUGGAGGAACACCAGUGGCAAGGCGGCUUUCUGGUCUGUAACUGACGCUGAGGCGCGAAAGCGUGGGGGAGCAAACAGGAUUAGAUACCCUGGUAGUCCACGCCGUAAACGAUGAGUGCUAAGUGUUAGGGGGUUUCCGCCCCUUAGUGCUGCAGCUAACGCAUUAAGCACUCCGCCUGGGAGUACGGCCGCAAGCCUG
rnacentral:rRNA from 1 species